rnacentral:rRNA from 1 species
UGGGGAAUAUUGCACAAUGGGCGCAAGCCUGAUGCAGCCAUGCCGCGUGUGUGAAGAAGGCCUUCGGGUUGUAAAGCACUUUCAGCGAGGAGGAAGGGUAGUGUGUUAAUAGCACAUUGCAUUGACGUUACUCGCAGAAGAAGCACCGGCUAACUCCGGGCCAGCAGCCGCGGUAAUACGGAGGGUGCAAGCGUUAAUCGGAAUUACUGGGCGUAAAGCGCACGCAGGCGGUUUGUUAAGUCAGAUGUGAAAUCCCCGCGCUUAACGUGGGAACUGCAUUUGAAACUGGCAAGCUAGAGUCUUGUAGAGGGGGGUAGAAUUCCAGGUGUAGCGGUGAAAUGCGUAGAGAUCUGGAGGAAUACCGGUGGCGAAGGCGGCCCCCUGGACAAAGACUGACGCUCAGGUGCGAAAGCGUGGGGAGCAAACA